CACGUAGGGUGCGAGCGUUGUCCGGAAUUAUUGGGCGUAAAGAGCUCGUAGGCGGUGUGUCGCGUCGGCCGUGAAAACCUGCAGCUUAACUGUGGGCUUGCGGUCGAUACGGGCAUCACUGGAGUUCGGCAGGGGAGACUGGAAUUCCUGGUGUAGCGGUGAAAUGCGCAGAUAUCAGGAGGAACACCGGUGGCGAAGGCGGGUCUCUGGGCCGAUACUGACGCUGAGGCACGAAAGCGUGGGGAGCAAACGGG
rnacentral:rRNA from 1 species